GAUAAACGCUGGCGGCGUGCAUGAGACAUGCAAGUCGAACGGACGAUCGGGGCUUGCUCCGGUCGUUAGUGGCGGACGGCUGAGUAACGCGUGGGUGACCUGCCCCGACGUGGGGGAUAACGGCCCGAAAGGGUUGCUAAUACCGCAUGUGGCGACGUGUUCGUUCACGUCAUCAAAGCCGAAAGGCGCUUCGGGAGGGGCCUGCGUCCGAUUAGCUCGUUGGUGGGGUAACGGCUCACCAAGGCGACGAUCGGUAGGUGGUCUGAGAGGACGAUCACCCAGACUGGGACUGAGACACGGCCCAGACUCCUACGGGAGGCGGCAGUGGGGAAUCUUGCGCAAUGGGCGAAAGCCUGACGCAGCCAUGCCGCGUGAAUGAUGAAGGUCUUAGGAUUGUAAAGCACUUUAAGUUGGGAGGAAGGGUAUUCACCUAAUACGUGGGUACUUUGACGUUACCAACAGAAUAAGCACCGGCUAA
rnacentral:rRNA from 1 species